UGGGGAAUCUUGCGCAAUGGGCGAAAGCCUGACGCAGCGACGCCGCGUGAGUGAUGAAGGCCUUCGGGUUGUAAAACUCUGUGGGGAGGGAAGAAUAAGCGCGAGCAAAUACCUCGCAUGAUGACGGUACCUCCUUAGCAAGCACCGGCUAACUCUGUGCCAGCAGCCGCGGUAAGACAGAGGGUGCAAACGUUGUUCGGAAUCACUGGGCGUAAAGCGUGUGUAGGCGGUAAGGUAAGUCGGCUGUGAAAGCCCCGGGCUUAACCUGGGAAGUGCACUCGAUACUACCUUGCUAGAAUAUCGGAGAGGUUGGUGGAAUUCUCGGUGUAGAGGUGAAAUUCGUAGAUAUCGAGAGGAACAUCGGUGGCGAAGGCGGCUAACUGGACGAAUAUUGACGCUGAGACACGAAAGCGUGGGGAGCAAACAG
rnacentral:rRNA from 1 species